CGCUGGCGGCGUGCCUAACACAUGCAAGUCGAGCGGGGUCCAUCCGGUAGCAAUACCGGGGAAGACCUAGCGGCGAACGGGUGAGUAACACGUGAGAAACCUGCCCCGAAGUCUGGGAUAACCCGAGGAAACUCGAGCUAAUACCGGAUGUCUUCUUCUGAUCGCAUGGUCGGAUGAAGAAAGAUUUAUCGCUUCGGGAGGGUCUCGCGGCCUAUCAGCUAGUUGCGGGUAAGGCCCACCAAGGCGUCGACGGGUAGCUGGUCUGAGAGGACGAUCAGCCACACUGGGACUGAGACACGGCCCAGACUCCUACGGGAGGCAGCAGUGGGGAAUAUUGCGCAAUGGGCGAAAGCCUGACGCAGCAACGCCGCGUGCGGGAUGAAGGCCUUCGGGUUGUAAACCGCUUUCAGUGGGGACGAAUUCAGACGGUACCCACAGAAGAAGCCCCGGCCAACUACGUG
rnacentral:rRNA from 1 species